rnacentral:rRNA from 3 species
CGAAUGGGGAGAUUCAUCGUCAGCUCAUUUUGUAUAUGUAUAAGUUAUGAUGCGGGUUACUACUUGUAGUAUUGCCUGCACAUUCUUGUAUAUUUAGUUGCAAGAUGUUGUCGGCGUGCACUUCUCCCCUAGUAGGACGUCGCGACCUGUUGGGUGUCGGUCUACGGCCCAAGUGAUAGCCUUUAAUGUAAUUUAAAAAACAUUGAAGAUCCUUGGUGUUUUCUGACCGGCUACUUGGCAGUAUUCGUACGGUAUUUAGCCGCUAAAUUUAUUAAGCGUCCAUAUCCAUCACAAGCGAGGCUAAUUUACUGAUAGUACGGACCUAGUGCCGUCGUUGGUAUUGGCCAGCUGUUGGUUGAUGGUAUUCUAGGAC